CGGAGGAAAAGAAACCAACAGGGAUUGCCUCAGUAACGGCGAGUGAAGCGGCAAUAGCUCAAAUUUGAAAUCUGGCUCUUUUAGAGUCCGAGUUGUAAUUUGUAGAGGAUGCUUCGGCUUACGUCUCGGUCUAAGUUCCUUGGAACAGGACGUCACAGAGGGUGAGAAUCCCGUUUGUGGCCGCGACUUCCGCCAUGUGAAGCUCCUUCGACGAGUCGAGUUGUUUGGGAAUGCAGCUCUAAAUGGGAGGUAUAUUUCUUCUAAAGCUAAAUACCGGCCAGAGACCGAUAGCGCACAAGUAGAGUGAUCGAAAGAUGAAAAGCACUUUGGAAAGAGAGUUAAAAAGUACGUGAAAUUGUUGAAAGGGAAGCGCUUGCGACCAGACUUGCCCGCGGAUGCUCAACCGGUCCUUCGGCCGGUGCACUCUUCCGCGGUCAGGCCAGCAUCAGUUCGAGCAGUUGGAUAAAGGCUUUGGGAAUGUGGCUCUCUUCGGGGAGUGUUAUAGCCCUUUGUGCAAUACAACUCGCUUGGACUGAGGCCCGCGCUUCGGCUAGGAUGCUGGCGUAAUGGUCGUAAGCGGCCCGUCUUGAAACACGGACCAAGGAGUCUAACAUCUAUGCGAGUGUUUGGGUGUCAAACCCGUGCGCGAAAUGAAAGUGAACGGAGGUGGGAACCUUUGGGUGCACCAUCGACCGAUCCUGAUGUCUUCGGAUGGAUUUGAGUAAGAGCAUAGCUGUUGGGACCCGAAAGAUGGUGAACUAUGCCUGAAUAGGGUGAAGCCAGAGGAAACUCUGGUGGAGGCUCGCAGCGGUUCUGACGUGCAAAUCGAUCGUCAAAUUUGGGUAUAGGGGCGAAAGACUAAUCGAACCAUCUAGAAGCUGGUC
rnacentral:rRNA from 1 species